rnacentral:misc_RNA from 1 species
GAUGAAGAACGCAGUGAAAUGCGAUACGUAAUGUGAAUUGCAAAUUCAGUGAAUCAUCGAGUCUUUGAACGCAUAUUGCGCCCUCUGGUAUUCCGGGGGGCACACCUGUUCGAGCGUCAUUACAACACUCAAGCACGGCUUGGUAUUGGGCGCCGUCCUUUACGGGCGCGCCUUAAACUCCUCGGCGCCGCCGUUCGUCUUUAAGCGCAGCGAGAUUCUUCUAGCGCUUUUAAAGCCGGGCCUCGUUCGCCGAAUAACGCCUCUUCUUUUAGGUUGACCUCGGAUCAGGUGGGGAUACCCGCUGAACUUAAGCAUAUCAAUAAGCGGAGGA